GAUGAACGCUGGCGGCGUGCCUAAUACAUGCAAGUCGAGCGAACGGACGAGAAGCUUGCUUCUCUGAUGUUAGCGGCGGACGGGUGAGUAACAUGUGGAUAACCUACCUAUAAGACUGGGAUAACUUCGGGAAACCGGAGCUAAUACCGGAUAAUAUUUUGAACCGCAUGGUUCAAAAGUGAAAGACGGUCUUGCUGUCACUUAUAGCUGGAUCCGCGCUGCAUUAGCUAGUUGGUAAGGUAACGGCUUACCAAGGCAACGAUGCAUAGCCGACCUGAGAGGGGGAUCGGCCACACUGGAACUGAGACACGGACCAGACGCCUACGGGAGGCAGCAGUAGGGAAUCGUCCGCAAUGGGCGAAAGCCUGACGGAGCAACGCCGCGUGAGUGAUGAAGGUCUUCGGAGCGUAAAACUCGGUUAUUAGGGAAGAACAUAUGUGUAAGUAACUGUGCACAUCUUGACGGUACCUAAUCAGAAAGCCACGGCUAACUACGUG
rnacentral:rRNA from 1 species